rnacentral:rRNA from 1 species
AGUGAACGCUGGCGGUAGGCCUAACACAUGCAAGUCGAACGGCAGCACAGUAAGAGCUUGCUCUUACGGGUGGCGAGUGGCGGACGGGUGAGGAAUACAUCGGAAUCUACUUUUUCGUGGGGGAUAACGUAGGGAAACUUACGCUAAUACCGCAUACGACCUACGGGUGAAAGCAGGGGAUCUUCGGACCUUGCGCGAUUGAAUGAGCCGAUGUCGGAUUAGCUAGUUGGCGGGGUAAAGGCCCACCAAGGCGACGAUCCGUAGCUGGUCUGAGAGGAUGAUCAGCCACACUAGAACUGAGACACGGUCCAGACUACUACGGGAGGCAGCAGUGGGGAAUAUUGGACAAUGGGCGCAAGCCUGAUCCAGCCAUACCGCGUGGGUGAAGAAGGCCUUUGGGUUGUAAAGCCCUUUUGUUGGGAAAGAAAAGCAGCAGGUUAAUACCCCGCUGUUCUGACGGUACCCAAAGAAUAAGCACCGGCUAACUUCGUG